GCCAAAUAAAAUCUUAAUUUUACAUAACAACCUGUUAGGCCAAACUUUAGUUUUCAGAUCUCAGAAGAUUUUUAUGCAAUGGAAAAAGGAGUGGAACACACAAACUGUUAAAGAGCAAAACUCUUCCCAUAGUCAAAGGAGUAGCUGUCAAAUUACAGUGCAUAAUUAAUAUGGAUUUCAUACCAAAACUAAAGAAAAUUAAUGUAUUUUCCUUAUCAUUUAAUGCCAUUCUGUACAGUACAAGUAGUUAAUUCAUUAGUGAUAACAAUGACGUCACAUAAAUUUGAGAUUGUCACUGAAAAUACGAUUUUGUCGCUGUUGCUGACAGUUUGUUGGAACCUUUUGGGACCACUGAAAAAUGACUAACUUCACCCACUCAUGUUAGGGACAACAGCUGCCGUGGGAAUUGUGCUGCACUGGGAGACGUACACCUGCCUCAACUUCAGUCAGUUAGAAACCCAGACAACAAAGAAAGCAUAACUCAAAUGGUGGUAAUGAAGUUCCAUUGAUGUAAAUAACCUCAAGACGUGGACCAUCCUCUUCUUUAAGGUGGUUAUGGCAGUGGGACUUGGAAAAAACUGUUCCCUUGUUGCUGUAAUGAUACAGCUGUUGUCACUGAUUUCUCAAUAGUGCAUUAGUUUGGAACUUCUGAACAUAUUUAGCAAUCACUGUGUUGAUCGCUAACUGAAGCUAUCCAAAACUAGACCAGGGUUGGCUGCAUUGCAUAUUGAACAAACACUUGAGAAUUGUCCUUUGACUACUGCUGUGAUGUUUUGUACACACAUUAGGUGUAGCUACUGUAAAGUCACUGGAAGCAGUUAAAUAAAAUCUGGAAUUUCUUUUCAUGUUUUCAGUGUCCCUUUUUUUGUCGCUUCCAUUAAGUCAGCAAAUCCUCUACUAGCAAUCCAGGAAACUCAGUAGUUGGGAGUUUUUCCUCAAGGUUUCACAAACGCAAACAUUUUUAUUUAAACAAAUCCAUGUGCAACCAAUGGAAAAUGAGUGUAUGCCUUUAUUGCGAUGCAAAGUAUAUACUGUCACCUCACUCACAAAGAUGGGUAUGAUUGUAAAGUGGACUAAUUCUAAGAUAAAAUCAGUUUAAUAACACAAGAAAAUAAACACCACUUCUGAGAAUUUUCCUAACCAAAAGGUAAGUAUUGGCCAUUUUCUACAGUGAUGCGACAGCUAUAAAAUCUGAACUAAUUACUUGUGGUACACAGAAAUUUCUGUAGGAAAGCCAUUUUCUUGUGACAAGAGAGAAUUUGUGACCAGAUCCUCUUUUUUUGUUUGUGAUUGCGAAUUCUUUUGACUUGAGGUUAAUACAUACUGUUUUAGCUGAGUAAAGCUGUAUAGAUAUGACUUGGUUAGUAGAUAACCAUGGCUGCCAAUAUAUAUUAUGAAACACUUAUAGGCAAGUUGAAUAUAUUUUAAAAAAAUCUAGAGGGGGGG